rnacentral:lncRNA from 1 species
UUUAACCCGUGCUCAAAGAAUUCAAAUGUCAUCUCCUUAAUCUCUCUCCCUCCACCGCGCCGGAGCUCACUGUCGGUGGCGGUUGAGCAUCACGUCGUGAAAAUAACAUACAGAAACAAUCGGAAUUUCAUGUUGAGUCUAAAUCCACAAGCGAAAUCAACUAAUAAAUUCUUAAAUCUCCAGAUCGAAAGGAAAAAUGAAAGAACCCUAAGUCUCUCAACAAAAAUUAAAUGGAGCAUAGCAAGAAUCAUAGCCCUAGGUGUUAGGGUUUUGGUUUAUCUCAACACAAGCUACAUUUUGUUGUAACUUACUUAAAGCAAAUUGACGAAGUUUAAAAUAUGCACUCACUGGAGAAAGCGCCAGAAAUUAAAGGUAAUCUCUCUGAAACUUCUCGUAUCUUCCUCUCUUUGCUUCUUCUUCUUAUAAACUUCUUCUGAAACUCAGAAUCGAGUGAAUGGAAGAUGAUUUCAAGAGGGAGAGAAAUUCUGAGCUCUGAGAUUUCAUAAGAGAAUAAUUUGAGAGCGAUUGAAGAUUGAAAAUGAUUGAAGAUUCGAGAUCCUUGAAUGAAUGAGGGUGAAGGGAAUUUAUAGAGGAUGAACUUCACGGAUCUGUUUUCUUUGUUAGCUCGUAGAAGUGAGAAUCGGUUGGCAGUUAGACACGGGGUUAAAAGUUAGUUGAACUAGCUACAACUGGAUUCAGUUAGUUAGAAAAUGAGGUUGAAUGGUUUUAACUGAUUUUUGAAUGAAAACAUUUUUCUGCAACUUCUGUUAAUUGAGUAAAUUCAUUUUCAAUUUUAUGUUAAUGCAGUUAGUUAUUUUAGCUGAUUGGAAAUGUUAGAUUAGAUUAGUUAAAAAUGUGAAUUAAUGUAUGUUAAUGAUGGUUAAUUAUUGAAUGAAGUUAGUCAAAAUGAUUUGCUCGAUUUCUGCAUUUAGUCUGCUAUGUUCUAUGAUGAUGCAGCAUUGCUGUUAAGGCAAACUGAAUGGAAUGUAAGUGAUGAUGUGUUAAUGUGCAUGUUGAUU